UCUCUUUAAAAAAAAAAAAGGAAUCUUGUCUUUGAGAAUUAGAAGCAAUGAGCAGAGGAGUUGUGGUAAAUGUGGGGUGGCGGGGGAGUCUUCAAGAACACCCUCAUGGACUGGGGUGUGCGCACAGGGGAUCCUUGAAGAAAAGAUGUUUCACUGUCCUCUGAGAUGCCCAACCACAACCAGAGGACUGGAAGACACGGAUGCUGGGGAAGGUGGGUACCACCCACAUGCUUUUCCAUGUGAGACUGUUACCACAGGGAAGCAUGCAUGGUCUGUGUCCUUUCUGCCAUGGUGAUCAGCAAGGAGACUUCACAGGGACUCUUCACAUCCUGUCAAUCAUUGUUUCUUUGGUGAAAAUAUUUUCUAAAUGGCAAACGAGAUCAAGAGGAUGGAGAAGUAAGGAUUGGAGGAGCCCUCUGAGCGUCCAUGAAGCACACAGAGGCAUGCGGAAGAGCUCGGCAAGCUGGAUUUGAACUCACUCUCAGCAUUUCCAGUUCCAUGACCUUGAGCAAACAUAGCUGACCUCUCAAUAGAACACAGUCUCCUCUUUAGAGAGUGAAG
rnacentral:lncRNA from 1 species